rnacentral:rRNA from 1 species
UAAAGAACCUACCCUUUAGCGGGGGAUAGCCUCGGGAAACUGGGGGUAAUACCGCAUACGCUAUAGACAUCGCAUGAUGAUUAUAGGAAAGGCUUUGGUCGUAAGACUGGGGUCACUAAAGGAGGGCUUUGCGGCCUAUCAGGUAGUUGGUGAGGUAACGGCUCACCAAGCCAAAGACGGGUAGCUGGUCUGAGAGGAUGGUCAGCCACACUGGAACUGAGACACGGUCCAG